rnacentral:rRNA from 1 species
UACGUAGGGGGCUAGCGUUGUCCGGAAUCAUUGGGCGUAAAGCGCGUGUAGGCGGUCCGGUAAGUCCGCUGUGAAAGUCGGGGGGCUCAACCCUCGGAUGCCGGUGGAUACUGUCGGGCUUGAGUACGGAAGAGGCGAGUGGAAUUCCUGGUGUAGCGGUGAAAAUGCGCAGAUAUCAGGAGGAACACCCAAUUGCGAAGGCAGCUCGCUGGGACGUUAACUGACGCUGGAGACGCGAAAGCGUGGGGAGCAAACAGG